rnacentral:rRNA from 1 species
AGCGGCGUGCUUAACACAUGCAAGUCAAUCGAUNAAUCNNAGCUUNCUGGGUGGAUUAGUGGCGAACGGGUGAGUAACACGUGAGUAACCUGCCCUUGACUCUGGGAUAAGCGUUGGAAACGGUGUCUAAUACUGGAUACGACCUGCNNUGGCAUNGUGUGNGGGUGGAAAGUUUUUCGGUNAAGGAUGGNCUCGCGGCCUAUCAGCUUGUUGGUGAGGUAAUGGCUNACCAAGGCGACNCCGGGUAGCCGGCCUGAGACGGUGACCGGCCACACUGGGACUGAGACACGGCCCAGACUCCUACGGGAGG